GAACAGGUGCUAUAAAAGAGCCAAGAACUGGAGGCGAACCUUGAUAUAAGUCGAAAUAUAAGUAUAAGCGAUUCAGUUUACCGUUUAUUGAUAAACCAGAUAUAUCUUCCAGGACUUUUGAAUGUUAUUGAACUUCCAUGGAACUGGAGCCUUAAUCUUGUUGAGUGUUUCGGGUGUGACCGGCAGUGCAGCCUAUUAGGUCUCAUCAGAAGGAGCUUAGAGAGGACUCGGCUGCUGGAUCAUCAAUCACAAAAAUAUCUUCCAAGCUCAGCUCUGUGGAGAAACUCUCUAACCGUCUCCACACUAUUUAGCUCUGCUCAUUAAAUUCUCACUACAUCUCAACAUCCCCAAGAUACACAUCUCCUCCAAGUGCUCCUUGACAUCUGGAUUUUCCCGUCUGAAUCAAGUUGGAAACUCCAUAUUGUCUGUGUGAGACAAACUUCAUCAUGCCAGUCACAACAUCUGGACCCAAAGAGACGGAGGAAGUUCAAGGAGAACUUGGGAGCACAAAGCAACAGGCUUUUUCCUUCGUAGCUCAGGGAAAAGAAAUCACAACAUGUACUACAAGUAUUAUGUAUUCAGUAAGAAGCCACAUCCUGGUACAUGGGUGUGCUGAGACUCUCUACGAUGUUAAAAUCCCUUAUAUUCAGCUCUGCGACUUGUGUUACCGACUGAUCUAAAGUGGGAAAUAACAGAAACUUGUAAUGACCCAGAGCCAGACAAACCAUCUGCUCCCUCCUGCCGCAGAGCAACUUUUAGGCUGGUUCAUCAAAAGGUGACAUAAAAAGAUCUGGACCCAGGUUAUUCCUGCCAAGCCUCCGUUCAGCAAUCAGCCUCAUGUCCCCCACCUGGGCCGUGCUGAUUGUCUCUCUGUUCCACCUGUAUGGAGCAUCACCUGAGAGCUCUCCAGUCUCUGCUUUGCCAGAUUAUCAACAGACUUGUCCAAGUAGACGGCAAGUGUUGUUUCUGGCUCUCGUUUGUCUUCUAGUUGCCAAAGGACUCUUCUCACCUCACUCAGCUUUGAUAGACUUUCACCUCCUGUCAGAUUUUUAGACAUUAACCUGUUUUGUGAGUGUUGACCACUGAUUCAGUGUCUUGACACCUGACUUUCUAUAUUUGACCUUUGUUGAAUGAGCAUACAUCUGGAUUUUUUAAUUUGGAGUCAUUCAGCAGCUACGUUUUCAUUGCAAAUGUGUGCAAAACUGUUUUGAUAUGAUGCUAAUGCCAAAAAAACACAGUUUCGCAAUUGUGGUGUUUUGAUUAAAUGCAAAAAUGAAAUGAAAAUUGUACAUGAUUAACUGUACAGGCAGUGGCGCAUGUUUGUAUGCGUCACUGCCAUGAUGGAAGAGUCAUGAGCCAUCAGAGGAGAUGUCAGCAUCUUAUUCAGGCAUUGGAGCGACAAACCGUUUAUUGAGUGCGGCUACAUUUGUGCCAUUUUUGAGAAAUUACAGUCAGUGAUUUUACAGAUGAACUAUGGAUUCAACAUUUUCAAAUGGCAAACUCAACAUUUGAACGGUGUGAUGCUGUGAGAGCCCUGGUGGAGCCAGCAGUGCAUCGUCCGAGGCCAGGGACUCUUUGCUGCUGUAUACAAGCAGACUUGUAUGAUGGAAUAAGUAUUUUCAUUGUAGUUUUGCGAAAUACACAAAUUUUGAUGCUGCUGAGAUCUCAUCCAAGAGCAAAAACGUAUUUUUUUUGGUUGAAAAAAGUUUUGUAAUUCCAUUUCACACAAUCUUAUGGUUCAUGGAAACACAACAAAUGUACCGAACUCGGUCUGUCAUUCCAGAUUACCUUCUGGCCGUCGCUGCAGCCAUAUUUUAUGCUACGUAAGUAGCACUCCGCACUUUAGGAAAAGUGCUGUACAUAUCUUCCAUUUUGCGUCAUCCCUCUGUGAUCAAUCUGUCACCCCAGACUCUCCUGUCAACAGCCAGCUGUUUGGCUGCUGUUCUCCUGUACGUCUCUCACCACUGCAGACCAGAGCAGCAACCUACUUUUAGCUCAGUGCUUACUGUGUAUUGUGGCUGAAUUUCCGGGUCAUCUCAGCGCUCGGUAAUAAAGGGAGUAGUCCAUAAUGAGAUGACUACAGACUCAGAUUCCCUCAAAUUAUAAUUGAUCGUUUCAUUGAAAACCUUUCAUCAUAUUCAGACAACCAUACAUUUUCCGAACACUUACCGCUGACUUGGACAUCAAUAACGUAUUCCUAUUACUCUUCUGCUCUCCAUUAAUAUUCAUUUAAAUUUAAUUGUCUGUAGCAAAAGCUGUUAUAUAAAAUGUUAUAUUCUUCAUUUGCAAGAGACAUUUUUAUCCAGCUGCAAACACAAAAGGUUAACUAUAUUUAAGCAGCACGUUUCUAAUGAUCCAAUGAAUUGUGUUCAGUUGAGCAGAAAAGAUGAUGGAAUACAUUUUACAGUUUUUUAUUAUUCAAACAUCGUAACAAGAAAAAUUUUUUUAACUAUUUUUAUGUUUUGUUACAUUGGAACAUGAUUGAGGUGUGAUAGACCAACACAAAGUAGUGCAUAAUAGUGAACUAAUGAAAAAAGUGUAAUUGUCUUUACUGAUAAAAGUAAAUGUUUGUACUGCUGACAGCCCUGAACCACAGGAAAUCCAGCGGAAAAUUGGUGGCAUAACUUAAAUGUUUACAGAUGCUCUUAAUCCACAGUGACUGAGCUAAAGGUAGUUUGAAUUAAAAACAUGAACAAGUUAAAUUGGUGUAGAUACUUUUGCAAGGCAAUAAUUAAAUGUUUCCAUUUAAUUAAACUAAUUCAGAUGUUUUUUUGCUAAGCGCACAAACCCUCUAGUUUGGUGAACAAUUUCCUUAUUAAAUUAAUCAAGUCAUAAGUGAUUAAAAUCAGUUUCCUGAAUUUUGAGAGUGUUUUUCCUGGCUGCUCACUCAUGUUCCUUAGCUUAACUGCUUUCCUGAAGUGUUUUUGUAUUCAUCACAUGCUGCUGAACCAGAAGAGUUCUGAACUUUUGCUGAAGAAGAGAGGUUGCAGCUGCUUUUCUCCACAACAAACCCAUCUCCAGCAAAAAACCUUUUUAACAAACUUCUGGUUCAUCUAAACUUUGUUCUCUUCACCGAAGCUGAUUUUUCCGCUGCACGCUACUUUUUAAUUAUAAAUUUACAAAUGUGCAGUUUUUCUUUUUGAUGAAACUAUAAUCUCAGAGAGGAUCUUAACAAGCAAGAAAGACUGAAUUCACUUAAGUAUUUAAUGUUUAAUUCUUUUUUCUUUGAGUUCCAACACGAUCUUCAAUAGAAUUGCAAAUUAAAAGUACAGAUAUCAGAGUGAAAUGGCUAAUCAUUGAAAUGCUGAUGCAGACUUGGCCUGUUCUGUGUCUUUUUAAACCGUUUCUCACACAUUGCACUGCUGGUCACACAUUACAAU